GUAAAUAGCUUAAUAUUAUCAUUAAUGUACCUUUGUUUGGUUGUUUUUCUGUUGAUACAGUUUCUGAUUAGAAGUUUAUUCACUUGAGCAGGAAUGGUGAUGAUGAUUCAGUAGCUAAAAUGAAGGCCGCUGAAGAUGCCCUGCAAGAAAAGGAGAAGCAAAAACCUUCAUUCGAGCUCUCUGGGAAGCUUGCUUCGGAAACUAACAGAGUCAGAGAUUGAAUUGCUCAAAUGGGGAUUUGGAGCAUCUGUUGUUAGAAGUGAUGGUCACAUGAGCUUGCAUUGUUUUUUAUUUUU